rnacentral:rRNA from 1 species
GCGGAGGAAAAGAAACCAACUGGGAUUACCUUAGUAACGGCGAGUGAAGCGGUAAAAGCUCAAAUUUGAAAUCUGGUACUUUCAGUGCCCGAGUUGUAAUUUGUAGAAUUUGUCUUUGAUUAGGUCCUUGUCUAUGUUCCUUGGAACAGGACGUCAUAGAGGGUGAGAAUCCCGUUUGGCGAGGAUACCUUUUCUCUGUAAGACUUUUUCGAAGAGUCGAGUUGUUUGGGAAUGCAGCUCAAAGUGGGUGGUAAAUUCCAUCUAAAGCUAAAUAUUGGCGAGAGACCGAUAGCGAACAAGUACAGUGAUGGAAAGAUGAAAAGAACUUUGAAAAGAGAGUGAAAAAGUACGUGAAAUUGUUGAAAGGGAAGGGCAUUUGAUCAGACAUGGUGUUUUUUGCAUGCACUCGCCUCUCGUGGGCUUGGGCCUCUCAAAAAUUUCACUGGGCCAACAUCAAUUCUGGCAGCAGGAUAAAUCAUUAAGAAUGUAGCUACUUCGGUAGUGUUAUAGCUUUUUGGAAUACUGUUAGCCGGGAUUGAGGACUGCGCUUCGGCAAGGAUGUUGGCAUAAUGGUUAAAUGCCGCCCGUCUU